CUUCUGCAUGACAGGAAAAACCCCCAUGAUUCAAGAAGAUGUCCAUAUCCCUAAACUGAUAGUACUUCUUUUCUGUUCCUGUGUCUUUUUUUUUUUACAGAGAAGUGAUGAAAGUAAAGCAUUCUUGGAAACUUAUACACAUAGAUUAACUAUUGUUAGGCAUUGUAACUGAGUCAAUCUAUCAUUUUCGUGUAGAUAAGAUAGCAAAUUUUGCUCAAACCAGCGAAGGCAAAGCCCAAGUGCCACUGAGAAUUGGAAAAAUCAUUUAGUGGUUGAACUCCAUUUGACAAUGUUUAAAAGUUUGGCAUUUCCAACAUGUCAAGUUAUUUCAUUUCCCUAGAGAAAUUCGUGCUUAGUGAAGGAUCAUUUGGCUUUCAUAACAGUCUAGGCAAAGCCACACAACAUACAAGAAACAGAACCAAACUGCAUUGUUAAGCAAACCUGCGGUAGAGAAGGUUGGGGCCUGGAGCUUGAUCAGAACCACGAUGAAAUGCAGAAACUCUAGGGAAACUCAAAGGCGACUGAGUAGCAUUACUCUGCUUUGAUCUCGUUGAAAUUGGUAUUGCUGUAGUUGCUGGUGCUGCUUGGGUUAACAAUGAAUUGGCCAUAAUUUCGAAUCACCUGUUAAUUAUGUUUGAAUCCAGAUGAAUUGACAUUUUCUUUUAAAGUCUUCUGUGGAGAACGAAAAAGAACUCCAAAAUGGAUAGUGCUUGUUUGGACAGCAGAUCCCUGAGCGGAACAAAGAUUUGAAGUUGAUUGGCUGAUUUUUGAUAAGGUCUCAUUUUGUGGACCCC